GGAUCAGGUAUAGUUCAGGGGUUGAACACAUGCUUCAUAUGCAUGAGGUCCCAGGUUCAAUCCCUGGUACCUCCU
rnacentral:tRNA from 1 species